rnacentral:rRNA from 1 species
GGGGCAAAAGUAAAUCUCCAAAAAUCUGCGGUGUUCUUUGGCAAGGGUACCUCAGAUGGUGACAAAGAUGAGAUCAAACAUGUGUUGCAAAUAUCAGAAGAGGCGCCGAGUGAACGGUACUUGGGACUACCCACGGUGGUGGGGAAAUCUAAGGACGGUACUUUCAAAUAUGUCAAGGAUAGUGCAAAAGGAAAAGUUUUUGGAUGGAAGGGCCAAGGUUUAGCUAAGAUGGCGAGAGAGGUGCUUGUCAAGUCUGGCCUUUAG